GACAGAGGCCUCGAGCGUUAGGCGGAAUCACUGGGCUUAAAGCGUGUGUAGGCGGAUCGUUAAGUACCUUGUGAAAUCCCACGGCUCAACCGUGGAACGGCUGGGUAUACUGGCGGUCUUGGGCCAUUCAGGGGCGACUGGAACAAGCGGUGGAGCGGUGAAAUGCGUAGAUAUCGGGAAGAACACCCGUGGCGAAGGCGGUUCUCUGGGACGGUACUGACGCUGAGACGCGAAAGCGUGGGAGGCGAA
rnacentral:rRNA from 1 species